GGGGAUUUAGCUCAGUGGUAAGAGCACUUGCCUAGCAAGCACAAGGCCCUGGGUUCGGUUCCCCAGCUCCA
rnacentral:tRNA from 1 species